GCUGUUGCCUUCUUCUCACUCUCCCAGCCAAGCAUUGUAGCUCCGCCCCCUAGAUGAGAGAUGAGGAGCUGGCUCGUGCUGUGACCUGCACACUGAGACUACAGUGAGAGGCUGUGUUCUGUCUGGUGUGGGGAGAUGGCAGAGGCACUGCAAAGCAAUUUUCAUCAUAUAAUCCAUUUGGCUCCACCCCUUCUCUAAAGGGGCGAGAUUGCAAAAUGUGGUGGGAGUGGGGCCUAAUUAUACGAGGUGCCUGGCCACACUAAACAACCUGAAGUCCUGCUGCAGUUCUGCAUCUUAUUAGGCUCCAAGUCCCAAAGUGUAUCAUAUCGUGGAGACCACCUUGGGUGAUACAGCCAUUUCUGACAAUGCCUUGGUAUCUUGGUCCCCCCUAGUUUGCUCACGUGCCUGACCUUCCUAUCUUUUUCAUCCUGAGCAAUUCCAACAAUACCUCAGACUGAAAUGGGCAGAAUUCUCGGAUGACAAUCUGGAACACUUGGACAACCCUGUCAUGUUAUGGGAAACACUUAAGGCUGUUAUGAAGGGAUGUAUUAUGUCUUAUGUGGAAAACAGAAACAGAGAAAUUAAGACUUAACACGCAGAACUGCAACAGUCCAUACAUGACAAUUUGCAGGAGUGUAUGUCUAAUCCCAAUGACACCAACCAUCCAGCUUUAUUCAAUCGCGCAAGCUGUUCUUCUGGCCCAGGCACAGUUGAAACUGAACUACACUAAACAAAAACAUUUUUG